GUGCCUGCCUGGCACUGGGUGGAGAAAGUUCACGACACUGCGCGCCACAUCUGGCUGGGACCGCUGCCCGCGCAUGUACGAGCUGCAGGUCUAUAAAGUGAGAUACGGAUAUCGGUGCACCGGUAGAUUCCCAAUGGCACCUAGAUACUCCAUGUCUAUAACUUUAGACAUGUUAGCCGAUGACAUCGGUGCACCUCAAUAACCUUUGGUGACAUCGGGUGCACCGUAUCUCACUUUAGAUACUCCAUGUCUACUGGUGCAUUGAAUUCUAUGUCUAUAAGUUGGUUAGAUUUCCAAUAUCGUCUAGAUACUCCAUGUCAACUCAAGUAUUUAUGGGUUAAUUAUUCAUAUUUAUCAUAUUCAA